rnacentral:rRNA from 1 species
AACGAACGCUGGCGGCAGGCCUAACACAUGCAAGUCGAGCGCCCGCAAGGGAGCGGCGGACGGGUGAGUAACGCGUGGGAACGUGCCCUUUGCUACGGAAUAGCCUCGGGAAACUGAGAGUAAUACCGUAUGUGCCCUUCGGGGGGAAGAUUUAUCGGCAAAGGAUCGGCCCGCGUUGGAUUAGGUAGUUGGUGGGGUAAUGGCCUACCAAGCCGACGAUCCAUAGCUGGUUUGAGAGGAUGAUCAGCCACACUGGGACUGAGACACGGCCCAGACUCCUACGGGAGGCAGCAGUGGGGAAUCUUAGACAAUGGGCGCAAGCCUGAUCUAGCCAUGCCGCGUGAGCGAUGAAGGCCUUAGGGUUGUAAAGCUCUUUCGUGGGGGAAGAUAAUGACGGUACCCCAAGAAGAAGCCCCGGCUAACUCCGUGCCAGCCGCCGCGGUAAAAC